GAUGAACGCUGGCGGCGUGCCUAAUACAUGCAAGUAGAACGCUGAAGGAGGAGCUUGCUCUUCUGGAUGAGUUGCGAACGGGUGAGUAACGCGUAGGUAACCUGCCUGGUAGCGGGGGAUAACUAUUGGAAACGAUAGCUAAUACCGCAUGACAACAGUUUUGCAUGAUAACUGUUUAAAAGGGGCAACUGCUCCACUACCAGAUGGACCUGCGUUGUAUUAGCUAGUUGGUGAGGUAACGGCUCACCAAGGCGACGAUACAUAGCCGACCUGAGAGGGUGAUCGGCCACACUGGGACUGAGACACGGCCCAGACUCCUACGGGAGGCAGCAGUAGGGAAUCUUCGGCAAUGGACGGAAGUCUGACCGAGCAACGCCGCGUGAGUGAAGAAGGUUUUCGGAUCGUAAAGCUCUGUUGUAAGAGAAGAACGAGUGUGAGAGUGGAAAGUUCACACUGUGACGGUAUCUUACCAGAAAGGGACGGCUAACUACGUG
rnacentral:rRNA from 1 species